GCCCACGCAGGCUGCUAGCAGGCAACUCCAUCCCACCUGCCACUCAGCAGCUGAACAGUCAACGAGGCAGACCUCUAGCUCGCUGCCCCAGCGCCCUUCCUGGCUACGGAGAGGAAAUGAGGCACUCCCUAAGCUAGGGGGCUGUCUGAGCAUUAAGUCUGAUAAUGGUCAGCACAGAGCCCAGAGUUUAGCAAGUGCUGAAUAGCCAGUAGCUGUAACCAUCACUGCAAAUACUGGAUGCAGCCACCUGCCACCAGAAGCAUAAGCAUGUCUCCAUCUCAAAAAAGACCCCCAAAACCUGAAA